rnacentral:lncRNA from 1 species
UAAGACACGAUUAGACCUGUUUACUGAAAAGUACGCUACGUGAUUUUUUAUUUUUUAAAAAUAAAUAAAAUUAGGAGUGGUCUGGUCAACCCUUUACCAAAAACACAGGUCUCCGCAAAGUCGUAAGACCAUGUAUGGGGGCUGACAUCUGCCUAGUGCCGGAAGGUCAUGUAAGUUGGUGACCUGAUGACAGGGGAGCCGGUGACCGAAGCCCCGGUGCACAACACCGAAAUUCUGGGUUUUAAAAAGCGCGCCUGAGGCGCGCCUAGGCGCACUGAGGUGUAGGCCUUAGCGCCUCAGGUCACCUGAGGCGCGCAUGCCUUUUCCAAAAAGUGCAAGAAAAGCGCAUUUUUUGGGUUUUUUUUUGGGGUCUGAGGCGCGCACUUUAUGUAUUUGGGUAUUUUUAUAUUUGUUUUAUGCAUUAAAGGGUUGUGCAAAAGGUUUUUUGGCUUGUACAUGUAGGUAACAUCAUAUAUAAACCUUAUUUAUACUUAUAUUUUGGAUAAGAGAUGCUAAAAACCUAUAGGAUAUAUAUAAAAAUUGAUAUAAUCUCCUUGCGCCUUGGGUACGAAAAGCCCACCGCUUUUGCGCUUCACACCUCAUUUUUAGACCUUGUCGCUUUUGUGCACCUCUCGCUUUUUAAAACCAAGGCCGAAACUAUAACUAUCCUAAGGUAGCGAAAUUCCUUAUUGGGUAUGUUCCGACCCGCGCGAAAGGCGUAAGGAUCUGGGCAUUGUCUUG